AUUGAACGCUGGCGGCAGGCCUAACACAUGCAAGUCGAACGGUAACAGGAAGCAGCUUGCUGCUUCGCUGACGAGUGGCGGACGGGUGAGUAAUGUCUGGGAAGCUGCCUGAUGGAGGGGGAUAACUACUGGAAACGGUAGCUAAUACCGCAUAAUGUCGCAAGACCAAAGAGGGGGACCUUCGGGCCUCUUGCCAUCGGAUGUGCCCAGAUGGGAUUAGCUUGUUGGUGGGGUAACGGCUCACCAAGGCGACGAUCCCUAGCUGGUCUGAGAGGAUGACCAGCCACACUGGAACUGAGCCACGGUCCAGACUCCUACGGGAGGCAGCAGUGGGGAAUAUUGGACAAUGGGCGCAAGCCUGAUGCAGCCAUGCCGCGUGUAUGAAGAAGGCCUUCGGGUUGUAAAGUACUUUCAGCGGGGAGGAAGGGAGUAAAGUUAAUACCUUUGCUCAUUGACGUUACCCGCAGAAGAAGCACCGGCUAACUCCGUG
rnacentral:rRNA from 1 species